GCCAGGUGUGGUGGCACAUACCUGUAAUCCCAGCUACUGGGGAGGCUGAGAUGGGAGAAUCGCUUGAACUCAGGAGGCAGAGGUUGCAGUGAGCUGAGAUCACGGCACUGCACUCCAGCCUGGGUGACAUGGUGAGAUCCCAUCUCAA
rfam:Pan troglodytes isolate Yerkes chimp pedigree #C0471 (Clint) chromosome 7, whole genome shotgun sequence.